UGCAGAUGGCAUCAGGUAUCUAUGCAGACUACUGGGUCCCAGGAUUAAGCACCGCACUGCACGGAGCCAUGCACUGAGUGUGGAGCAAAUGGUUUGUGUGGCCUUGCGCUUUUUGCUAGUGGAGCCUUCCUGUACUCAGUGGGGGAUGCAGAACAGCUGAACAAGGCCACAAUUUGCCGCACAAUAAGGAGUGUGUGUCUGGCUAUCAAAGCAUUAGCAGAUGUCUUCAUCUCCUUCCCUGGCCACAGAAGACUCUGUGACAUCAAAGAGGAGUUCUAUAGGAUUGCAGAUGGUCUGCAAUGCUGACUGUGUGAUCAGCAAUGUUGUGGCAAAAUGGCCUGGCUCAGUCCAUGACUCCAGAAUCUUUCGGGCCUCUGAAAUCUCUCAGUGCCUAUCACAAGGUGAAUUCUCUGGUGUGUUGCUGGGAGACAGGGGUAUGGCUGCCAGCCUUUUCUCCUGACACCUUUCACAGACCCCCAGGAAGCACAGCAGGCCUACAACCAUGCCCAUGCCAGGACCAGGGCCAGAGUUGAAAUGACCUUUGGCCUCCUGAAGGCACGCUUUCACUGCCUUCACAAAUUAAGGGUCAGCCCUGUUAGGGCAUGUGAUAUUACUGUGGCUUGUGCUGUCCUCCACAAUGUGGCCUGCCUGAGGAAGGAGAGGGCCCCCAGAGUGCCACCAGCCAUGGACUGGGACAAUCCGGCAAUCUUCCUGAUGACGACAGUGGUCGGCUGCUGAGGGACCAAUAUGUGUUGAAUUAUUUUAGUUAGUAUGUGUGCUUUCAAUUUUGGUUAAAUAUGUCCUGCGGUGGCAGAGGAAUUUG